UAACUGUGUUAUUUUAUGCUGUCAAAGUCUCCGUGCUUCCUUUCUAAUGUGCCAAGGUAAUUUUCUCAAUUAUUUCUGUUUCUCAGUAGGUCAUGAUUGAGCAAGCACUACCCAUAUCAAUGUGCAAUUAAAGCAAGAGAAAGUCCAAAUCCCCGUAUGAUCUAAUUGUACAAAAAUUUGGCUAGCUCUCAUGCUAAAUGUGCCCUUUGACCUGAAAGAAAUAUUCCUAAGAUAUUUUUUUUCACCUAGAACUAUAAAUGAGAUGCAUCAGAAGUUCCUUAACUAAUUGAGAAAUGGCUGAAUGAUCUCGUCUCUUUGACUGGUACCUACUGGCAUGCAUUUUAUUGAUGGUGUGAAAGAAACUAAAUUUGGACUCUAAUCAGUAAGGUGGAGCAAUUUAAGCAAAGGAUGUUAAGAUUAAAGAAUAGUGUUAUUGAAAGGAACUUCACAAAAUGAACACAAAAAACACAAUCAAAGAUUUAAGCAAAGAUAUUAUUAAAGCAGAGAGUUAAAAUUCAUUUAAUGAGACAUGUUAUUGAGGAAGAGAAAAUCUCUAAUCUGAAGCCAGAAGAAGAGAGGCCACACUUUAUCUUUGCUUAAGCAUUUAAGCAUAUAUCCUACAGAUAAAGGAUGCACUUUUGCCUAGUGACCACAGAGGAAGAGAGCUUUGAUUUCAUGAAGUACACGUGGUACAAAUUUAUAAGCUAGUUCAUUCAUCCACAUCCACAAAAAGCCGUCUAGCAACAAUUCAUGUGACCACUUUCUCCUGGGGCUCAAUGACAUGCAGAAUAUCUAGAUUUUAGAGGGUGGAUAGUUAGCUUAAAUAGUUGCACUAUGUUCUAAAUAAUAUUGGGGCCCAUUUAACUUUAAAUAGAGAACUCUGUUUCAUGGGGAAAAAUGUACCCAUGACCUUGGCUAGCCUUCUUGCAAUGUUGGGUCAUAAUUACAGCUGGGACCUUGAGUAAAAUAACUGCAAAAGCAGGGACUUCUACCAGUUUUUAUAGAUAGAUUUUGUAUGCAAAGGGGAGCACAAAAUUGGGGGCUUCCUGUUUUCCACAAAUGUCUUGAGACCGGACUUUCCUUAUUGAGUGUCCUUAGCCAGGUCAAAUAAAAACAAGUCCCAAACUUGUCAGGCAUAUGACUAAUAAAUAAUAUAAUGUAAAGAAUAUUUGUGAACCUAAAAUAGAGAUGCUACAGAUAAGUAAAAUUAACAAAUAAUCCCCAAAUCACUUUAUGCUCCGAUCUUUCAGCAAGUCCUUAAAGAGGAGAGAAGUGCUAAUGAGAAGGGGCAGGGGAGAGGGUGUACCAUCCCAUCAAGUCAAAUGAAGGAGGCCACUAAGAGAAAUGGUCUCGGCAUAGAGCACUAGCAGAAUCUUGUUUUUCAGUUAGUUUACUGAGCUGCACAUCUGUGGACUCUCUGGUGUCAUCCCUAAAAUGUAUUAAAGUAAGAAGUCCCUUUGGAGAAGUGAUAUUGUGUAUGUGUGAUUGUGUUGGCAUGAUAAAGGAUGAUGGUUAAAAAUGCAGAGGACUGCAGGUGGAGCACCCAGAGAAAGGGGAGGUUUUGCACUACUCUGCCAAGUAAAGAGAGCAUCAAGAGCAUCACUCACUGAGAUGAAUAGAUACACCUUACUGUACAUAAAAUAGAUUUAAAAUGAAGAACACAAAAAACACAAAGAUUUAUGCAAAGAGAUAUUAUUAAAGCAGAGAGAUAAAAUUCAUUUAAUGAGACCAUGUAUAGUACAGGGAACUAUAUUCAGUAUAUUUUAAUAACCUAUAAUGGAACAGAAUCUGAAAAAGAAUACACACACAUGAAGUAUAGCUGAAUCACUUUACUAUAUACCUGAAACUAAUGCAACAUUGUAAAUCAACUAUACUUUCGUGUGUAUUUAAAAAAAAACACCUCUAUCCAAGGCAGAAAAGACCAAGAUAUAAAGCUCCUCAUUUCCUGUCUGUAUAUAGUGGCCUCAUCAGUAACAUAAAUCAUUCAACUUAGAAAAAAAAAAACCCUUUAUCUGUUCCCCUCCCCACCAAAAAAAUUGAAAGAAAAAAAUACAGAAAGAAGGCCAUAAUGCUUUAACCUUUAGAGGACAUUUGUAAUGGUCCAUUAGUUGCUAACGCUUUCUCUCUGUGACAGAUGCUUAGGCUAUCAUUGUGGAUUGAAUCCAGUAGGAGAGCUCUGAAAAGAACAAGGUCCAGGGCUUCUAGCCAGAGACUCAUAGAUGUUAUUAGUACACAUCCUUUGGCCAAGGUUCUAUGUAUAUGCAAAUUACAUACCUGUAAUAGGUUGACGUAGACAUGAUGUGCUGUAGGAGGCCUCAUUAGGAAUUGGGCAGCCCUCACGUGUAGAUACUGAUGAGGUGCCGUUGGGACACACAUACUCAUAUAACAGUAAUGUAUGAGUUUUCUGUGCAAGAAGAACACAGGCAAAAGGGAACCAAUUUUGAGCCAUCUUGGUAAUUUUGAGCCAUUUUGAGCCUCAUUCAGGAAGGCUGUCUGCUAGCAAUGUUAUUCUCAUAGCAAAAGGAGGAAGUUGUGAAGGGGAUUAGAAAAGAUCAUUUGGAAGUUCUCUCUCCUAUAUGAGGAAAAUAUGCAUUUUUCAGAACCUGGCAUGCAUUUCGUAAGAAAGCAUCUUAUUUCCUCAGUAUAAUUGAAAAUAUUAAGAAACAUGGUAGGAAGUAAACUCUAGUAGCCAGAUCCAGGUCUAAACCCAAAUUAGAGGGAUUAAUGAAAGGCAUUUUUCAAAAGAAAAUUCUAAACAAUGGUGUAAUCAAGAGGAUACAUAAUCUUAGGGUUCUGGUAAAAUCUUAAGCCAAUAAAAGGAAAAAAAAGGAGAGAAAAACCCCAAAUCUUUAUAAGGAAUUCGUGAUCAAAAUAUAAAACAAAACUAUAGUGUGGUAUUGCAAGAUUAUUACAAUACAAAUAGUCCUUAAAAGGUAAUUCAUUUGACAUUUUGUUUUGAAGUAAACUGUUUUGACUCAGGCUUCCGUUCCUCUCUGUGCUCAAUUACACUAAGCAAUUACAUGGAAAAAAAUAAUUAGACAACUGUAGAUAAAAUCACUGUUAAACAUUGUAGAAUUAUCUAAGUAAAACUACUGAAAAAGUACAGAAGGUUUAGUGAGUUAUAAAAAAAUAUAAAUAAGUUUGUCUUUUUCAGUGACAGAGAUAUCACAGGUAACAAAAUUUUAUGAUGGAUAUGGAGAAAACUGGAGGGAAAUAGAGGGGAAUUUAUUCCUUGAAAUGAAUUUGAAAUAGAUUCAAGUAUUAUAUCGAAUCAUUAUCCUUGCAAGAUAAAACAGAAGGAGAAUAGAAUCCUAACAUAUCUGAGUGUCUAUGACAUGGUACUAAGUGGCUGUCUGGUACGAGACAAGUUACUCUUCUAUUUGUCCUUCCAUUCUCUUUUUACCUGCUCUUUUGGCAUUCUGAUGAUAAGGAGUUUAGCUUAUUUAUUGAUUGUCCUUUUAGUCAUUUGUCUGCAUCACUGAGUCUGAGAUCCCAUGACCUACGUAUUUACAAAGAGGGAUGUUGAACUAAUCCAAAUUACUUACUCUGUAGAAAAAAAUACCCUCUUCCAAUUCUAAUAUUGAGUAUUUGUUCUGGUGAGGAAAGCAACUUUUCAAAGUUACUGAAUACAACCUUUUAUUUCCUGAUUAGCUUGAAAGAGUGAAAUAAAGGUGUUGAAGACCUUCUGUCCUUUCAUUCUGGUAUUCAUGGAAACUGAGAGGAAUAUCCAUAAUGUUUUCUAAUUUUUAGUGAAAUAGCUGAAACUGUAAAAUGUUGAGUCUUCAAACCUCAAAUAUUCAUAGAAUGGAAUUAACUUUUUUAAGAGGCAUCUUUUUAGAUGUAUUAUUCCCUCUCAAUUUAGGUGACAGAGGCCAGAGACCUUGAUUGCCUGGUCCCUUGCAAAGGGCUUCUGGAGUAUUACCAUGUCCCAAUCUAUGGAGUGAAAGAUAGUUAGCAAUAUAUUCUUUGGGUCAAGGAAUUUUAGGGGUGAUUUUAAGUUUUGGUUGGGGAAAUAUUAGAAUAAUGUAAAUAGGGGCUUAACGAUUGAUUUAUCAGCUCACUGUUUUGAAGAACUUAGUGCACAUUGGCUGUAAAUAUCUCUGACAUGAUUAGGCAUUAGUGUAAGGGUUUUGUUUACUUUGGUCAAUGCUAAUCACAUUUUCUUUGUGGCUGAACACUAGCCAGUGAAGACGAUUUUUUGUUUUUACCCAAAUACAGACGAUUUUUUGUUUUUACCCAAAGCUAACUCAGGCUUAGCUUUUUUAAGAAUGGAAAUUUUAUUCAGCAACUCAAGAUUUUUUCCAUUAUAAUAUUGUCACACAGUGUGUGUGCAAAAUGUUUAAGUGAAACUUGCCACCCUCUUAACAGUAAAAUAAAGAAGUAAAGUCACAAGGUCUUUAUUUUUUUUUCUAUUAAAUAAUGUAUGACUGAUAACUUGAAUCAACAUAUAAAGCGUCUCAGACCUGUCAAAUAGCAUUGAAAGCAACAAAAUUUAUGGGUGGUAUUCUAAAUCACUAUCAGGGUGGAUUGCCAGUCUCUAUUAUAGAAGUAAAUUAACAGGGAUGUUUUUGGCUGAAACAGUGAAGAGGGAUGUGGAAUUCUGUUGUACAAAAAAUAUCCCAUUUAGUUCCAGUUGGAUGUGUUUGGCAACUUUUCCCAUGUGUGUUGGUUUAAUACACCAUACCUCACGUUGCCAUCUGGUCUCUACCAGGAGGAAAGAGAAAAUUACCUACAAUUUAAAUAGGUUCAUUCUUUGUUGUCAGGUAGAGAUUUUUCUUGGUUCUGAUGACUUGAAAUUCCUAUGCCUUUCUUUUUACCCUGAAUCUCACAUCUUCUCUUAUAAUUCAAGCUGUGUAAGAGUGCAUGUGCAUGUGGGUGCAUGCAUGCAUGCAUGUGAGUCUUUGUGUGUCUGUAAAGGAAACUCAGGCUUAGCUUUUUUAAGAAUGGAAAUUUUAUUCUGCAACUCAAGAUUUUUUCCAUUAUAAUAUUGUCACACAGAGUGUGUGCAAAAUGUUUAAGUGAAUUUUGCUUUUCACUGAAUGAACUGGAAACAUAUUUCAACUUACUCUUAAAAUCCACCCUGAAUCAAAAAGAGAAGCAUUUCUGUAAAGCUUUUAAACUUAAUAAUAGGUUUCUUAUAAUGUGUCUGACACAUAGACAAAAGGUUAAAUAUAAAAAAACCCAUAGAAAAAUACUUUUUUUUGGAUGGGAUAACAUAGUUUUAUACGUUUUUGGUUUUAUAUAUUCAAAGUGAGUUCUUCGAUU
rnacentral:lncRNA from 1 species